rnacentral:rRNA from 1 species
GAGUUUGAUCCUGGCUCAGGACGAACGCUGGCGGCGUGCUUAACACAUGCAAGUCGAACGCUGAAGCCCUUCGGGGUGGAUGAGUGGCGAACGGGUGAGUAACACGUGGGUAAUCUGCCCUGCACUCUGGGAUAAGCCUUGGAAACGAGGUCUAAUACCGGAUAGGACACAUGGCCGCAUGGUCUGUGUGUGGAAAGUUCCGGCGGUGCAGGUUGAGCCCGCGGCCUAUCAGCUUGUUGGUGGGGUGAUGGCCUACCAAGGCGACGACGGGUAGCCGGCCUGAGAGGGUGACCGGCCACACUGGGACUGAGACACGGCCCAGACUCCUACGGGAGGCAGCAGUGGGGAAUCUUGCGCAAUGGGCGAAAGCCUGACGCAGCAACGCCGCGUGGGGGAUGACGGCCUUCGGGUUGUAAACCUCUUUCGACAUCGACGAAGCCUUCGGGUGACGGUAGGUGUAGAAGAAGCACCGGCUAACUACGUGCCAGCAGCCGCGGUAAUACGUAGGGUGCGAGCGUUGUCCGGAAUUAUUGGGCGUAAAGAGCUCGUAGGCGGUUUGUCGCGUCGGCCGUGAAAACCUGCCGCUUAACGGUGGGCGUGCGGUCGAUACGGGCAGACUUGAGUUCGGUAGGGGAGACUGGAAUUCCUGGUGUAGCGGUGAAAUGCGCAGAUAUCAGGAGGAACACCGGUGGCGAAGGCGGGUCUCUGGGCCGAUACUGACGCUGAGGAGCGAAAGCGUGGGGAGCGAACAGGAUUAGAUACCCUGGUAGUCCACGCCGUAAACGGUGGGCGCUAGGUGUGGGGACUGUUUCCACGGUUCCUGUGCCGUAG